rnacentral:misc_RNA from 1 species
GGGGCAAAGGGAGACUGGCCAAUUUAACACUUAAUAUUUAAUAUUUGGCGAACUUGGUUCAUAAUGUCCCUGCAUCAGCAUAGAAGACAGGAGAUUCCUGGACAAGAACUGCUUUGCUUUCCAUAACAGGCUAUCCUCCCAGGUUUUUCCAUCUGGAAUGAAUUCAUUGGCUGCAUUAGUCAGUGGAUCGGGCUCAGAUACAGCCUCUGUGGAGACAUAUGUUGAUGCUACAAGUAUACAAGUGCAGAGUCAG